rnacentral:lncRNA from 1 species
CCACACACACACACACACACACCGCAAGCAGCGGCGACCAGGGCAGGAGCCCACUCCCCGCCACCUGCAGGCGUCGGACCCGAAGUCCACGAGCCGGAACUCAGAGCAGGAGCCGAAGGACCCCAGCGCAGAAUCCGUGGAGGCGCACGGCUUCAUCCACCGCGCUCCCAGAUGGGGUCCCAGCCCAGAUCCGGCCACGAAGACACAGGCAACCCCGGCCUGGGUUUCCUGUUCCAUGAGCUCCAGGAAGGCGACAAUGCGAAGGCUGUAGGGACUUUGGUGACUGAAGCUGGAGGAGACGAGGAGAAGAAAAUACGGUCCAAACCCGAGCAGGGAGCUGGAGCAGAAGAAGAAAGUCACUUCUGUGCGGGAGCUGCCGACCCCACGAUCAAGGAUAACCAGAAGCGCGGCGGUGGCGACCAGGAGCCCUCGCAGCAGCAGCCUGAGGCUUCCAGCCCAGGACUCCUCCGCGGAGGAGCCACAACCCCAAUAUUAGCGGCGUCUCUUCAGCCCCAGUGCGUUCAGCAGGUUGCACCUGAAGGAGCUAGACAGCAUUUUCCCACGCUCUGAAUAUCUCGAC